rnacentral:rRNA from 1 species
GAUCAUGGCUCAGAACGAACGCUGGUAGCGUGGAUUAGGCAUGCAAGUCGAACGGGAUCCGGAAGGCAGCAAUGUCGGCCGGUGAGAGUGGCGGAAGGGCGAGGAACACGUGGGCAACCUGUCUUUGAGGUGGGGAAAACCUCGGGAAACUGAGGCUAAUACCGAAUGUGGCGCGGGAGGGCAUCCUUCCAGCGCUAAAGGGGGCGAAAGCUCCCCCUCUUCGAGGGGCUCGCGCACCAUCAGCUUGUUGGCGGGGUAACGGCCCACCAAGGCUUACGGUUAGCUGGUCUGAGAGGAUGGCCAGCCGCACUGGGACUGAGAUACUGCCCAGACUCCUACGGGAGGCUGCAGUCGAGGAUCAUUCGCAAUGGGCGAAAGCCUGACGAUGCGACGCUGCGUGGAAGGACGAAGGCCUUCGGGUUGUAAACUCCUGUCAUGAGGGAAAAGGAGAGGAUACCUAAUACGUAUCCGAUUUGAUGGUACCUCAAGAGGAAGGGACGGCUAACUCUGUGCCAGCAGCAGC